AAUCAAUAAACCUUACAGUCCGAGACGCCCAAAGUGACACUGUAGAUCGCAAAAUUUGGGUUUUCUGCUCCUGUUCACCAUUCCAAAACUUCCAUCCCGUUUCCCUUUUCCUCGUUUCUUUCAUUCCUUUUCCUGUUUUGUUUGGAUCCAUUUAAUGCCUUUUCCAUUCUGACAGUUCUCACAGGCUUUUCUUCUAACGCGCCCCGAGUGUUACUUAAUUUCUUUGUUUCCUUCCUCAGGUCUCCUUCGUUCCCUUUUCAUUCUGUAAGCUUUUCUCGUUCUCCUUUUGGGUUUGUCUGGAUUCGGCGGAAAGGUUUGUGCAGAAAACUUUCGAUUUCUAUCUCCUUUUCAAUUUCCUUUUCGAUUUCCUUUGUCUCCUUUUUGAUAUAUAUGGAUGGGUUUGGGUUUCGUUUUCAUUCAUUCGCUUUCUCCCUCUCUCGCUCUCUCUUUCUUUGUUGUUUGUUUUGGGGUUGUCUCAGAUGGCUGGUAGGUUUGUGCGAUGCAGUGCCCGGAAGAACUUCCUGACGUUUCAAGGUCUGGGUCGCAAGGAUUUGGGAGGUAACUGGUUAUCUGAGUUCGUCUUGAUUCCAAGUGCCGGGAAGAACUACUUGGCGUUUCAAGGUCAGGGUUACAAGGAUUUGGGAGGUGACUGGUUAUCUGAGGGAAUGGUUCUUCUUGAUGCUAAGAGAUAUCAAACCAGAUAAUUUCCUCUGGGUUUGAUUGUUUGUCCGAUGUUGUUCCUGGGAGAACUACUUGGGGGUUCAAGAUCCGGAUUUCUAAGCUUUUGGAGGUUCAAGAUCCAGAUUUCUAAGCUUUGGGAGGUUGUUUUAUUCUACUUCGGUUGAAAUGGUUCUUGUUGAUACUAAGAGGAGUUUAUGUCCGACCUAUUUGUGCAUACAAGGUGAGUUUUGCUUAACAACCAUUCUCUUUUAAGGUUGCUGUUUUGAUUGUUUUUAUCAUGUGAUCAAAGCAUUCUUACCAUCAAUAAAAAGUCUUGUGUUUUCCUGUUGGCUUGAUCGUGAUUUUGUUGUUCCAUUUUUUGUACGAUGCGGUGCCAGGAAGAACUUUUUGGCGUUUCAAGGUUAGGGUUACAAGGAUUUGGGAGGUGACUGGUUAUCUGAGGGAAUGGUUCUUCUUGAUGGUAAGGGUGGAAAAAUUCACACUACUGUUCGGAAGCAGCUGCUAUACCUGUUUCAGAGGAAGUUGGAGGAAAGGCUUGUCUAUGUUUUGUUUGUGGUUGAUGCCAAGGAUUUGAUUUUAAUUCUUUGUUUCAUUUCAAGCUUCCAUGAUUAAAGUUACACUAUAGACCAUCUGGUACCAUUCUUGCUUUUGAUUGUUUGCUCUAAAUCUCCAGGUACGCCACGUCGUUUGGGUUAUUCAUUCAUUCAUUCUUCAAUCUGAUAGAAAAUCAUGAAAUUUAUCAGAGUAUUUAUGUUUGUUUUUCGCAUACUUUGCAAGAUUUACAUUUUUUCUUGAUUUAACAAUUUCAUGAAAUUUGACUAGCUUGAAAGCUUAUGCAUGAGUGAUUUUGAGGUUUCAUUGCUUAUUUGAUUGAUAUAGUUAGAUUAUGAUGGCUUCAACUGUUCUCAAUUUCGUUAAUACUACAUUAGAUUGGGUUACACAUGCUUUGGAACCUGAGAGACUGCUUCCUCCGUUGAUGCUUUGCAGUUUGGGCUUUGCACUAGGAUGUGCCUACCCAGCACUUUUUUUUUUUUUUUUUCUGCAGUGUUCUCUCCUGCUAUCUGUGAUUCGUUUUCCUCCUCUUUUGCUGUUUUUGUUUUUUAUUGCUUCUUUAUAGGUGUUUCGGUUGCUGUUGAUUCAUCUUCCAGGGCGUUUCCUUUUUGUGUUUCCCUGUUCUUGUACUUUUAUCCCAUCAAGCACUUCUUCUGCUUUUGGGUUUUAUUCAAUAAAAUUUGCCUAUUAAAAAAAAAGGCUUUUGUUUAGUUCAACUCUUGGAGCAAUUGCAGGUGUUACUGGUGUUGUUUGGGUUAUUGCACAAAAUGCUUGGCAUUGGGGAUUUUUCAUAAUAAUUAUUGCUUUUAAACAACUACAAUUUAAAUAAAUUCAUCUACCAUAUGCUUAUGAUAAAAUAAAUAUUUACAAAACUUGGGUUGAAGAAUACGAUUGUGAGGAUGGUGUUAGAUUCCAGGUAUGGUUCUGGAUGUAUGUUCUGCAUAUAUACAAGGAUUUUGAUGAAUUGGGUAUACAGAUCCUUAUGAGGUCAAUGAUUCUUCUUUUGUUAAUGUUCAUUUCCCUGUUUAUUUUAUUGCUGAUUUUGUCCAUAUGGUUGAUUUUAUCAGAGGUUUACUCAGACAAUUAGGGGAAUACAGGGUGCCAUGAUUAUAAGCGGAAGUUUCCAAAUGGUUAUGGGAUUCUUAGGCUUAUGGAGAAAUGCUGCCAGAUUCCUUAGCCCACUUUGUGGUGUCCCUUGUGUAACUUUCACUGGACUUGGUCUCUAUCAUCUUGGUUUCCCUAUGGUAUAAAUUAUUAUGCAAGUUUGUAUUCAAGAGGAUUGUAUUCUUGUAUCUUACUUUUAUUGUUUCAUGUAAUUUAGUUUCUAUAAGUUUAGUACGUGAGUUGAGGAUUAUAAGUUUAUAUGAUAUGAUUCUUGUACUCUAAUUAUUCCAAUCACUGUUGCAUCUGGCAUCAGCUGUUGAAGUUGGGCUUCCAGGACUAAUUUCGAUGGUUUUCAUCUCUCAGGCAAGUAUAAUGAUUUUAAAUCCAUGAUAUAAUUAUCUUAAAUUUAGAUUCUAAUGCUAAAUCUAAAUGUGUUUAUUGUGUUAUACGAUACCGCGGUAUCUUCAUCGUUAUAUAAGCACCAAGAAGCCUACAUUUGACCGAUUCACAGUUCUAUUUUCCAUCGCAAUUGCUUGGUUAUUUGCACAGCUUCUUACUUCAGGCACUGCAUAUAACAACAAGCCAGAAUUCACACAAAAUAGUUGUCGCAAUGAUCGGGCUGGUCUUAUUAGUUCUGCUCCAUGGUUUGCACAGCCAAAAUGAAUUUGAGUGAUGAGGUGGACCUAGAGGAUUAUGUUUCCCGUCCUGACAAAAUUAGUGCUGCUGAGAUUUCUGCUAUUUGUCAAGAAGCGGGAAUGCAUGCUGUUCGUAAGAAUAGAUAUGUCAUACUGCCAAAGGACUUUGAGAAGGGUUACAGGACCAACGUGAAGAAGCCUGAUACUGACUUUGAAUUUUACAAGUGAUGAUGGGGUUUAAUCUCAUUUGUUUGUGUACGUACGUAUGGUGCAGAAUAUAGUUAAAGAUUACAUUUUCUAGAGUAAUUGUGGGUCAUCAAUGUUUAACAGAAAAAUGGUGAAAUGUUUCUGAUUCGUGCAUACUUUUCAUCUUAUUAUGUAAUGCAGAUUAAUUUAACUUAACGAUUAGAUUUAUUGUGACAGCUUAA